AGCAGCCGCGGUAAUUCCAGCUCCAAUAGCGUAUAUUAAAGUUGUUGCAGUUAAAAGCUCGUAGUUGAAUUUCGGGAUUGGCGCAUCGGUCGUGCCUCACGGGGUAUGAACUGGUGCAGUCAAUUUCUCACCUUCUGGAGAACCGCGAUGUCCUUAAUUGGAUGCCGCGGGGAACCAGGACCUUUACUUUAGAAAAAUUGAGUGUUUAAAGCAGGCAUUUUUGCUUGAAUACAUUAGCAUGGAAUAAUAAAAUAGGACGGCAUGGUUCUAUUUUGUUGGUUUCUAGGACCACCGUAAUGGUUAAUAGGGAUAGUUGGGGGCAUUAGUAUUCAAUUGUCAGAGGUGAAAUUCUUGGAUUUAUUGAAGACUAACUACUGCGAAAGCAUUUGCCAAGGAUGUUUUCAUUAAUCAAGAACGAAAGUUAGGGAUCGAAGACGAUCAGAUACCGUCGUAGUCUUAACCAUAAACUAUGCCGACUAGGAAUCAGACGAUGUUAAUUUUUAAUGUACUCGUUUGGCUA
rnacentral:misc_RNA from 1 species